GACAAGGGCACCGUCGAGCUGGCCGGCACCAACGGCGAGACCACCACCCAGGGCCUCGACGACCUCGGCAAGCGCUGCGCCAAGUACUACGAGGCCGGCGCGCGCUUCGCCAAGUGGCGGGCGGUCCUCAAGAUCGGCCCCACCGAGCCCUCCCAGCUGUCCAUCCAGGAGAACGCCAACGGGCUGGCCCGGUACGCCAUCAUCUGCCAGGAGAACGGCCUCGUGCCCAUCGUCGAGCCCGAGAUCCUCGUCGACGGCCCCCACGACAUCGCCCGCUGCGCCGACGUGACCGAGCGCGUCCUCGCCGCCUGCUACAAGGCCCUCAACGACCACC
rnacentral:lncRNA from 1 species